AGUAGAUCCAGGAAGCAGGACUCUAGACCAGGGCAUCUACAGCUGCAGAGGUCAGGGUGCUCUGAGACAAGGAUGAGAUGAAUCCUCACAGGCUUAGGGAAAGCAGACACUGAGGAGGAGGCCAGACACAGACAUCAUGAGAGGACUGUGCAGCAGCUCACUGGAGCAUCUCAGGCACCCAAGGAACUCGUGGAAACAACUGUGCAAGGCCCGGGUGGAGGAAUAGAGAACCUGCAGUUUUUCUGGAAGAGGGCAGGUGGCUUAAAAUGAAUUGUCAGCUGCUGGGAGCCAUGUGGGUCCUAUGGAAGCUUCUCCAACAGCCUCAGGGCAGCAGCAGCAGCACCCAGAGUAGCUCUUGUUCCUCUACGAAACCUCCUCAAAAAGGUACCAUGGCCAUGAAUAAAGCAUUCAAGACAGUCACCUUCCAGGAGGGUCCCACGAGGAGAAAUGAGGGGAAGAACACAAGAAAGGCUUUGUCUGACUACAGGGAACAAUUCAUUGGCAGAAAUUGCCCUGAGAUUGACUCCCCAUUGCCUUGGGUCCCGAGGUCCUGGGAGAGAAAAGAUAUAUUCUGGAAAAGAAGAGGAGGAGGAAGAAGAAUGACUGUAAAGGAAGGAGCAGUACUGUUUUCAUGAGGACCUACUAUGUGCCAGACAUUAUUCUAGGUGCUGGGGCUACCAUGGGAAACUUGCAGCUACUUGGGAGGCUGAGGUGGGAAGAUCGCUUGAGCCCAGGAGGUCGAGGCUGCGGUGAACCAAGAUUGUGACACUGCACUCCAGCCUGGGCAACAGAUGCUGUGUGAAGAUGAAGGCAGAGAUCAGGCUGAUGCUUAUGGAAAGCCAGAGAUUGCCAACAAACCACCAAAAGCUAGGAGAGAGGCCUGGAACAGAUUCUCUCUGAGUCCUCAGAAGGAACCAACCCUGCCAACACCGUGAUCUUGGACUUCUAAACCCCAGAACUGUGAAAUAAUAAAUGUCUGAUGUCUAAGCCAG